rnacentral:rRNA from 1 species
GAUGAACGCUGGCGGCGUGCCUAAUACAUGCCAGUCGAGCGAACGGACGAGAAGCUUGCUUCUCUGAUGUUAGCGGCGGACGGGUGAGUAACACGUGGAUAACCUACCUAUAAGACUGGGAUAACUUCGGGAAACCGGAGCUAAUACCGGAUAAUAUUUUGAACCGCAUGGUUCAAAAGUGAAAGACGGUCUUGCUGUCACUUAUAGAUGGAUCCGCGCUGCAUUAGCUAGUUGGUAAGGUAACGGCUUACCAAGGCAACGAUGCAUAGCCGACCUGAGAGGGUGAUCGGCCACACUGGAACUGAGACACGGUCCAGACUCCUACGGGAGGCAGCAGUAGGGAAUCUUCCGCAAUGGGCGAAAGCCUGACGGAGCAACGCCGCGUGAGUGAUGAAGGUCUUCGGAUCGUAAAACUCUGUUAUUAGGGAAGAACAUAUGUGUAAGUAACUGUGCACACCUUGACGGUACCUAAUCAGAAAGCCACGGCUAACUACGUG